CAGCCUUCUUCCUGGUAUCAAUUAAAUAUCUUUGUUUGCAAGCUGCACAAAACAAAGUUUGCAAGUCUGCCCAACCAAAGUCAAAAAAAGAAUUUGGUUAAAAGAAGUUGGGUGUCUCAAGGAAUAGAAGAAAAAGGUGAUCCAGCAGGCCUUGGGAAGGACAGAAGGCAAAGAGUCUCUAAAGAGACCCUAAGGUCUCUAAAAAGAGACCUUUUUAGUCUCUUUAGGACACUGAGGACAGAGGUGUCUGGGUGGCUGAGUCUGUUAAAUGUCUGACUCUUGGUUUUGAGUCAGGUCACCAUCUCAGGAGAGUAGGAUUCAGCUCCGGGUCCCCUCAUCACCAGUCUGCUUGAGAUUCUUUCCCUCCCCUCUGCUCCUCCCUCCUCCUUUGCUCUCUCUCUCUGUCUCUGAAAGAAGGAAAGCAAGAAAGCAAGAAAGAAAGGAAGGAAGAAAGGAAGAAAGAAAGUCAAAAAAAAAAAGAAGAAGAAAAAGACAUUAAGGACAGAGUGAAAAAAAAAAAGGACAUUGUGGCUCCGUCCACCUGCCUCAAGCUAGUGCCUGGUUCUGCAGGAGUGGAGUCCCUGCCUGCUUGAGUCAUGUGCCUGCCUUUGGGGGUGGGGCCUAAUUGUGAUUGGCAGUUCCACCGGGACCACCUACAAUGAGGGGGCAAAGGAGAUGAUGGAAUCAGGUGGGGAGAAAGGGCUCUGUGCAGAGAAAAGCAAAGAUGCCUGCAGGACUCCUGAGACCCUGGGCCUCUCACUGCAUUUUCCUCCCUCCCCGGGGGGUUAUCAUCAUCUGGACACCGGUCCCCCUUCCAGGCCCGGGCUUAGGUGACAUCUCCUCCCCGCAGCCCUUCCUGAAGGCCAUGCAGAGGACACGAGAUCAGGCCAUGAAGGGCUGUCAGCCCGGUGCCUGCAGCAAGUGUGGAGCUCGGGAAAUAGUAAGAUGAUGAUGGUGAUGAUGAUGAUGACGACGACAGCUUCUCUGCUACAAGGAACAAGUCGACACCAGGAGAGAGAAGACGUUGCUUCGACAUUGGGCUCUGUUCCUUCUGCUCGCCUCCCCCCGGCCACCCUCCACCAGGGAAGUUAAAAUCUGCCACAGGGGGUCCUGGCCUGGCUCAAGCGCUGGGGUCCUGGCCUGCCCGCGUGCUCCACCCCCACGAGGGGAAGUGCAGGGAGCUCCUGAGACACCAGCUGCCUCCCCAGUGACCAGGUAAGGAGCAAGGGAAGGAGGGGCGGCAUUUGUGGGAGCCUCCCGUGGGCACGGCAUCCUGCAGAGAACUCUCCACCCUUCACUUCCUUUCUGUCUGGUCCCAAACUCUGAGAGGUAGUUCCAAUCAUGCCCCUAUUAUGGAUGACAAAGCCCAGCCCAGAGAGGUGACAGGACUGGCCAAGGUCACACAGCCCCUAAGUGGCAGAGCAAACAUCAAGUCAGAGACCCUGGCACUGUCAAGCACAUGUGUCACUGUGUGAAAACUCUAAAGCCAACCACAUUUCCCGAAGGCCUGAAACUCUCCUCCAGGUCCGAGACCUCCCCAAACCCCCGCCCUCCCCGGAGCCUCAGCUGGGGACACCGCUGCCAGCCGCCUGGCUGGAUCUCCCUGCCUGGCUUGUUCCCCCCGCCGCCCCAGUCCUCGGUUUCCUGCCCCAGGUACACAUAGGCAGGACCCGCCAGGGGCCCCAUCCUGGGAUGGAGAUGGCUCACCAAAGAAAUUAUCUCCGAAACCCGGCCCUUCCCGGGAAACACCCUUCUGCUGCUGCGGGAAGAGCUGGGGAAUCAAAGCUCAUUUCCAGUUGUUUAGACUUAGCUCCUCAGUGACUCACCGUUUGGGCUCCCAUGACCCAGGCCGGGAGCCAGGGGCUGUCAGGAGGUGCCCUCGUUAAAAUCAAAAGGUAGUGGUGAGCAAAGGGGAGCCCCCUCUCUGGAGACCAUGACUCAUGGCUGCUGGGUGAUCCCAGCCAGGUGCACUCGCCGCCCCCCCAAGUCUCGUCUAGGGGGGUGAGUUCCA
rnacentral:lncRNA from 1 species